rnacentral:rRNA from 1 species
UACGAAGGGGGCUAGCGUUGCUCGGAAUCACUGGGCGUAAAGCGCACGUAGGCGGGUUGCUAAGUCGGGGGUGAAAUCCUGGAGCUCAACUCCAGAACUGCCUUCGAUACUGGCGACCUUGAGUCCGGGAGAGGUGAGUGGAACUCCGAGUGUAGAGGUGAAAUUCGUAGAUAUUCGCAAGAACACCAGUGGCGAAGGCGGCUCACUGGCCCGGUACUGACGCUGAGGUGCGAAAGCGUGGGGAGCAAACAGG